rnacentral:rRNA from 1 species
UACGUAGGGUGCGAGCGUUGUCCGGAAUUAUUGGGCGUAAAGAGCUUGUAGGCGGUUUGUCGCGUCUGCUGUGAAAAUCCGGGGCUCAACCCCGGACUUGCAGUGGGUACGGGCAGGCUAGAGUGUGGUAGGGGAGACUGGAAUUCCUGGUGUAGCGGUGAAAUGCGCAGAUAUCAGGAGGAACACCGAUGGCGAAGGCAGGUCUCUGGGCCACUACUGACGCUGAGAAGCGAAAGCAUGGGAGCGAACAGG